CAAGGAGAGGUGUGCUGCUGGAUCUCAUACUAACAAACAAAGAAGGACUGGUGGAAGAUGUGAAGGUCGGGGGCAGCCUUGGCUGCAGUGACCAYGAGAUGGUGGAGUUCAGGAUCCUGCGAGGAGGCAGCAGGGCACCAAGUAGGAUCGCAACCCUGGACUUCRGGAGAGCAAACUUUGGCCUCUUCAGGGACCUACUUGGAGGAAUCCCAUGGGUUASRGCCCUAGAAGGAAGGGGCAUUCAAGAGAGCUGGUUAAUAUUCAAACAUCACCUCCUCCAGGCUCAAGAGCGGUGCAUCCCUAUGAGUAGGAAGUCAAGCAAAGGAGGUAGGAGACCUGCAUGGAUGAGCAAGGAGCUCCUGGCAAAACUCAAGCAGAAGAAGGAAGUAUACAGAAAGUGGAAAGGGGGACAGGCCACUUGGGAGGAAUAUAGGAACGUUGUCAGAGUAUGCAGGGAUGCGACGAGGAAGGCUAAGGCCCGUUUGGAAUUAAAUCUGGCUAGAGAUGUCAAGGACAGCAAGAAGGGCUUCUUCAAAUACAUCAGCAGCAAGAGGAAGACUAGGGAAAAUGUGGGCCCUUUGCUGAAUGGGGUGGGUGCCCUGGUGACAAAGGAUGCAGAGAAGGCAGAGCCACUGAAUGCCUUCUUUGCUUCAGUCUUUACUGCUCAGGCCAGCCCUCAGGAAUCCCAGAUCCUGGAGGCAAGAGAGAAAGUCUGGAGGAAGGAAGACUUUCCCUUGGUGGAGGAGGAGUGGGUUAGAGAUCAUUUAAGCAAACUUGACACCCACAAAUCCAUGGGACCUGAUGGGAUGCACCCACGAGUGCUGAGGGAGCUGGCAGAUGUCAUUGCUAAGCCACUCUCCAUCAUCUUUGAAAGGUCAUGGAGAACAGGAGAGGUGCCUGAAGACUGGAAGAAAGCCAAUGUCACCCCAGUCUUCAAAAAGGGCAAGAAGGAGGACCCAGGGAACUACAGGCCAGUCAGCCUCACCUGCAUCCCUGGAAAGGUGAUGCAGCAGCUCAUCCUGGAGGCCAUCUCCAAGCAUGUGGAGGAAAAGAAGGUGAUCAGGAGUAGUCAGCAUGGCUUCACCAAGGGGAAACCAUGCUUAACCAAUCUGAUAGCCUUCUAUGAUGGAAUGACUGGCUGAGUAGAUGAG
rnacentral:lncRNA from 1 species